GCUGGCGUAGCUCAAUUGGCAGAGUAGCUGUCUUGUAAACAGCAGGUUGUGGGUUCGAGUCCCACCGCUAGCU
rnacentral:tRNA from 1 species